rnacentral:rRNA from 1 species
CGCCUCUUGACAAACUUAUAAGAGGUCCAGCCUGCCCAGUGACUUUGUUCAACGGCCGCGGUAUCCUAACCGUGCGAAGGUAGCGUAAUCACUUGUUCUUUAAAUGAGGACUAGUAUGAAUGGCAUCACGAAGGUUAUACUGUCUCCUUUUUCUAAUCAGUGAAACUAAUCUUCCCGUGAAGAAACGGGAAUAGUAAUAUAAGACGAGAAGACCCUAUGGAGCUUUAAACAAAUAUACAAUUGCCCACUUAAUUAAAAAUUUCAGAAGAUAAAUACUUACCCAGGCACUUUGAUAUAAAGUUUUAGGUUGGGGUGACCGCGGAGCAAAAGACAACCUCCACAGUGAAAGGGGGGACCCCCCUAAACUAAGGGCUACUACCCUAAGUAUCAAUAAACUGACACCAGUUGACCCAAUACACUUGAUCAACGAACCAAGUUACCCUAGGGAUAACAGCGCAAUCCACUUCAAGAGCUCCUAUCGACAAGUGGGUUUACGACCUCGAUGUUGGAUCAGGGUAUCCUAGUGGUGCAGCCGCUACUAACGGUUCGUUUGUUCAACGAUUAAAACCCU